UAAAAGGUUGAAUUGUGAUAUGAGGUAAUGAUUGUGAUAAAGAAGUUCAUUGUAAAUGCAAAUGUAUAAAAGAGUACAAAAUACCAUCUAUUGACGUUAAGUUUAUAUAUUUUCAAAGAAUUAAAACUGGAACUGUUAGCAAGUUUCAAAUUGAAUUAUCUGAUAGUAUUGAAACCAGGAAACAGUUCAAAAGAUUACUUAGAAAAGAUCGAGAAAAAUAUUUUGAGAAUAAAGACAGCAAUGUUAUUUUAACUUAAAAACAAAAAAUUGAGUCAGAUCAGAUAAACUUUCAAAAGGAAAGUGAUUUUAGUAAUGAAAUAGAAUUAAAUGAUAACAUUGAUGAUAUUACUAAUGUAGAAUUACCUCUGGUACUUGAGAAAUCAUCAGGAAAAAAAAAGUGUUGCAAUACCUUAGAUAUUUCACACAUAGCUAUGAAUAGCGUAAGAUAUGGGGUAUCUGCACGUGCUACAGCUGCAAUUGGUACAGCAACACUAAUUGAUGCAGGAUUAAUAACAUCUGAUGAUAAAAAGUUAAUUAUUGACCAUAGUAAAGUUUCGAGAGCGCAAGAAUCUCUGAUCUUAGUAAGGAUUUUGACAAAAUAGCAAAAAAUGGAGAAGUGAUUGAACUUGAUGACUCAAAUGCAAAAUUUCCAGUAACAGUGAAAGAAGAACAUUACUCUGUUUGUAUGGAACCUGGAGGAAAAUAUUUGUUUCACUUUACUUCUGAGAAAGCAACAAAAAGUGUUAAACAUGCAGAGAUUAUAGCAAAUAAAAUUGUUGAAUGGCUGACUGAGAGAGGUAUUGACAAGUCUUUACUGGCUGUUGGUGGAGACUCUACAAAUGUAAACACCGGUUGAGAGGGUGCAGUCAUCAAAUAUAUAGAAAUAAAAUUAGGAAAAAAACUUGUUUGGCUUAUAUGUCAACUCCGUACGAAUGAGUUGCCACUGAGACAUCUUAUAACCAAUUUAGAUGGUCAAACAAAAUCAAACAAUAACUGGUCUGGUGUUAUUGGUUCCAUGCUUGAUCAUGCUACAGAUCUAGAUACAAAUCCAGUAUUUGAAACUAUUAAAAUUGGCAAUCCACUUAUUUCUCUCGAUGAUAAAAUAAUAAAUGACCUGUCUGCAGAUCAAUUUUAUGGUUAUAAAGUUGUUUGUGCCAUUGAAGUGGUAUUUUACCACCAAAAUUUCAUUUAUUACAAAUUGGGCCUGUUUCACAUUCAAGAUGGUUAACUACUGCUAACAGAAUAUGUAGAAUAUGGAUCUCUAAACAUGGAAUUCAAGGUAAAGAUUUAGAAAAUUUAAGAUCUAUCACUGAGUACAUUGUAGGUGUUUAUUUUCCUUGUUGGUUUAAGAUUAAAGUUGAACAUUCUUGGAUUGAAGGUCCUAAGCAUGUACUUUACCAACUGCAGCAACUUAAAUUUCAAAAAAGAAGAUGUCAUUAAAAUAGUAUCACCCUCUAUUCAAAGAUCAGCUUGGUUUUGUUUCAGUGAGUGUAUACUACAAACAUUGUUGUGUUCUAAUACUGAAGAGGAUAGAAGUGUAGCUGUCAAUAAGAUAAAAGAUAUUAGAGGUACUGGAAAUGAAGAUCUACAAAAAAGUGAUUCCUCUCCCAGACCAAGAAAAACGCCUGUUCUGAACUUUAAUGCUGAAAAAUUGGUAGAUCUAAUAUCAUAGAAGUCACCGGUUUAUGAACCAGUCUUAACUACCUCUCUAACAACUUCUGAAAUUAAUGUGUUUUUAUCAAAUCCUAUGCAAGUGCCGAUUUGGCCAUGUCAUGGACAAUCUGUUAAACGUUGCGUAAAGCAAGUUACAGAAGCUUCAAGUAGAGUGUACACUCAUGAAAAGAGAGAAGGAUUUGUCCGAACUCAAGAGGCGAGUAGAAAGUUAAUGCCUAAAAAUAAUAGUAAACAAGACCUUGAAAGUUUGACACAAAUGUUUUUGUAUUAAAUUUAUAAUAUUUAUUGAAAUAAUUCGGUUUUUUUUUUU